GUACCUGCAUCGUUUCUUUCAUGCAAUGUUGGGGGGCUAGAUUUUUAUCAGAACUAGGUUCUAGGCUUCUAGUUGUGAUAGCUAUUGUAGGGUAUGCUCCACCUUUUUGGAGUAUUCUUCUAUCCUCUCUUUUCAAUAUUUAGAUUUUCGAGAUGAUUACUGGAUUAGUUGUGGGAGUAUUGCUGUUUUCCUAGGCUGUAUAUAUCUCUGCAAUCUGCCUCUGCAUGGCUUCGAGCUAGACUUGUAGUUCUAUUUCAAUAGUAGUGGCCAAUGGUUGCUAAGGCUCACUUUUGGGCAUCAUCACGUAUUCCUGGAAUGUCAAAUGGACCUGUGGACCGCGGGGCAGGCCCGUUUAAACCUGUGGCGGGACGGGUUUGGGCCUAAGGAUUGUCAUCCCGCAACGUUGCGGGCUUCGCGGGAAAGAGCUUGUGCGGGAUGGACCUUUUGCGGUACGGGCCUAGAUAGACCGCGGGAUACCCAAAAGUCCCGCAUCUUCUUCGCUUCUCAUUUCCUCCGCCACCUGAAAAACAAAAGAGAGAGAGAGAGCGAGAGGAAGGCGACUCGGUGCCACAAGAAACGGAGUUCCGGCCAUGGUUUCUUCAUGCAUGAUGCCUCUGAUCUACCAUUCGCCUUCUAUCUCCUCAGGUGAAACUUCUUGGAGCCAUAGCAAGAAGAUCCAUUUCCGGCCAUGGUUUCUUCAUCGACGGUGGUCCUGGGCUCUCCUGCUUCGAUCAUACACCGGAACUUCUCCUUCACUGCAUGCAUGUUCGUUUUCUUCUCCAUUUCUCCUCUGUGUGUUCACCACUGGAGCUUCAUUGCUUCUUAUAGAUCCAACGCAUGAGCUUGAUAUGUUGUAAGAUCCACCACCUAAUGACUACACCUUGUUUGUCUAUGUGUCGGUUAGGUGAAAAGAAUAGACAAGACAGAGUUGAAACUACAAAGCGAACAAGUAGGUGAAUGAUUGAAGUUAUCCCGCGGGCCGGCCCGUUUGUAACAGGACUUUAGGCGGGACGGGAUUGGGCCGGGGCUUUGGAGUACCGCAGCCCGCGCGGGACUGGACCGCAAUGAACCGCAAAUCGACGAGCCCGCUGCAGUCCGGGACAGGACGGGACGGGACGACCUGUUUGACAUUCCUACAUAUAUAUAUAUAUAUAUAUAUAUAUAUAAAUAUAAUGCUCAUAUUUUAUUACACAUCCAUCAUUUCGUGAAAAAACUAAUUUUUAUACUUUUGUAUUGUUAUAAUACAAUGAAGGCAUAAUGUAGAGGGAUUAAAUGAUACAAUAAAUGUCAUUAUUGAAUAUGAACGUUUCGGUUAUGAUUGAUUUAUGUU